GAAGAUGGCAAAAACAUCAGUAAACCUGUCAGGUUGAUAGACAAUUACUAGGGGACUCAGUCACUAGGUGGCAGCAAACCCUUUGCAAGAAGGACAGGCAACUCUUGUUCUACUUUCCUUCUCCAAGGACAUGCCAGUUUGGCAUCCCUGGAUAGAAACCAGCAGUUCCUAGGGCAGCAGCGGUUUACCAGGAUAUGUGACAAGACUGGGGAUUGGUGGAAAAUGUUGUUGUGUCGGCGCUCAAUCAGGAGAACAUGUUGACAUGAGUGUUUUAGGAUUGAGUUCUGAGUUAGGAUUGGUGAUAAUGUAGUUCACGGGAGAGGUCUGUUGCCUUGUGUAACUCUGGAAGAUAUUUGUUGGAUGCCAGAAGUUCAUUUUGCUCCACAGAGUACUGUGCAGAUAUUGCCUUUGUAAUGGAAAAUAGUGGUGACCAAGAAAAAUACAGGGUGGCCCAUACUCACCAAAUACAAUCUAGAGUUAAUUUUCCUUUGCUAUAAUUUGUGUAAAUUCAUAUUUUUACUUUUCAGCAUCAUUGAAGCAUGGCAAUUCACAAAUUGAUGUAACUGUCAAAAAACCUGCUAUGAUUUUCUCCAGAGAAUUAAAUAGAAAGAAAAAAAUGUUUUUUUUUUUUUUAAAUCAAAAUUCAAUUGCAACUGAUCAAAAGUGUCACACAGUACCAUCAUUAAAAAGUGUUCUAAGGCC